AGAGUUUGAUCCUGGCUCAGAACGAACGCUGGCGGCAUGCCUAACACAUGCAAGUCGAACGAAGCCUUCGGGCUUAGUGGCGCACGGGUGCGUAACGCGUGGGAAUCUGCCCUUGGGUUCGGAAUAACAGUUAGAAAUGACUGCUAAUACCGGAUAAUGACGUAAGUCCAAAGAUUUAUCGCCCAGGGAUGAGCCCGCGUAGGAUUAGCUAGUUGGUGGGGUAAAGGCUCACCAAGGCGACGAUCCUUAGCUGGUCUGAGAGGAUGAUCAGCCACACUGGGACUGAGACACGGCCCAGACUCCUACGGGAGGCAGCAGUGGGGAAUAUUGGACAAUGGGCGAAAGCCUGAUCCAGCAAUGCCGCGUGAGUGAAGAAGGCCCUCGGGUUGUAAAGCUCUUUUACCCGGGAAGAUAAUGACUGUACCGGGAGAAUAAGCCCCGGCUAACUCCGUGCCAGCAGCCGCGGUAAUAC
rnacentral:rRNA from 1 species